CUCCUGAAGGUUCCCAUAUCACUAAGGUCAAGAAUCCGACCAUAAUGUUUAUCUGAAUACAAGCAAGUCUCCUGAAGGUUCUCAUAUCACUAAGGUCAAGAAUCCUGCUGUAAUGUUUAUCUGAAUACAAGCAAGUCUCCUGAAGGUUCUCAUAUCACUAAGGUCAAGAAUCCGAC